rnacentral:lncRNA from 1 species
CUGCCAAUUGAUAUUUUAUCGUAUGUUUUUCUAUGUUGUGAUGUUAUGCUAUUGUUUCAGAAAAAGGGAGAAGGUUUGGAUCCAUUAAAACGUUUAAUCCCGCUGCAAAUGUUUGCACCUGUCCUAAGUCAGGAAUCUGAUGUACAGUAGUUGUCGUUUGUUUAUGUAAUAUAUACGUGUUUCUCGUUUCUCGUUUUGUUCAUAUAGAUUAGACCGUUGGUUU